AAAGAAACAAAACAAAAAUUAAUUUUUGCAGGGAUACCAGAUGUAAAGAUUUGUCGAUAAAAUUUAAGAAAUCCGUAUACAUAUUUAGAUUUGCUGAAGAUUUUUUACGAAUGGAUUGAGGUUUUGCGUGUGCAAAUUCGAUUUUCGUAAUUGCAAGUGGAUUUUCUACAAUUUCAGCAAUUUUUUUUUGAUUAUCGAGUAGCUACAAACAUCGCUUUUUAAAAUCAUAUGGCAUUUCUGCAUCCUCGUUGUUAGUCGGCAUUCUGCACAUUAAAUUACCAUUGUAGGUAUAUAUUUCCUGUUUUUACAAAACAUCUUAAAUUGCAAAAGGUCAAAUCAUGGAUGACGAGCUUAUCAGCUGUCCUUACAAUAGGGAACAUCGCAUCGUGCGCUAUCGUUUACCGUAUCAUAUCAUCAAAUGUAAGAAGCAACAUACAAACAAGCAACUGGAACCCUGUCCCUUUAAUGCUACUCAUCUAGUCAACAAAACGGAAAUGACUGCUCAUAUUAAAGAGUGUCCAGAUUACCUCAUCACUAUCGAGAAUGAAAUGGUUAAAACGUACGCUCCCUCCAGAACAGCGGGAGCGUCUUCCUCGUGCAGAAGUUCGCAGGUGGCUUCACGAAGUAGCAACAAUGGUCGAUGAAAAACGAUUCCACAAUAGUUACACGCAAGUUCGCUUUCGUAACGCGUCGUAAAGAUGUUCUUCGUAAAAGUCCGCCAAAUUGUUUCGAGAAUUUAUAACCCAGCCCGCAUCCUGGAUAGAAACGGGAAAGGUACUAAAAAACAAAUACAAUAACUUAUCACUGAUACUCAUGAGAUUAAAAUCAAUCCG